rnacentral:tRNA from 1 species
GUCCCCUUCGUCUAGAGGCCUAGGACACCGCCCUUUCACGGCGGCAACACCGGUUCGACUCCGGUAGGGGACGCCA